rnacentral:tRNA from 1 species
GACGGUUUGGCCGAGUGGUCUAAGGUGCCAGAUUUAGGCUCUGGUUCGAAAGGGCGUGGGUUCAAAUCCACAGCGUCA